AAAAAAACUAAAAAAACUAAUGGCUUCCCAAAAAGUUAUUACUAUCAUCACUACUUCCUCCGAUAACUCCGCCGGAGAUUCACACCCGCCGGCGAAUUGUCCGAAAGGACACUGUUUGUGCUCUCCGACGACCCAUCGAGGAUCGUUCAGGUGCAGGUACCACCGUACCUCUGGUGAGACAACAAGUGCUGCAUGGUUCAAGAGAUCAAAAUCCAUGCCUGUUAAU
rnacentral:misc_RNA from 1 species